GUGUCUCGCGUCUUUGGUCAACGUUCAACACAGCAGUUCAGUUGCUGUUUUGGACAUUGGUGUAAGGCGCGGAUAC
rnacentral:pre_miRNA from 1 species